ensembl:lncRNA novel transcript
CCAGUCAGUAACACUCUGGGAGGGCUCAGGCCACAUCACGAAAUGUGACAGGAUAGCCUUGAACUCAUCAAUUGCUGGGUAAGAAAGAAUUUUAAUGCAAUGGCAAACAACCAAUCAAACAAGCAAACAAAAACAAUAAACCCUUCCUUGAGGACCAAGAAGACAUUGAUUAGCUAACCUAAGAGCUCCAGGUGGAGACCUAGGUCCUGAUUGGGUUUCUGAAUUUGACCACUAGGCAGAAAACUAGCACCCAAAACCAGUUGGAAUAAAAUUACCCACCUACAGUGGAGCCAAGGCCCCCAGAUCCUUUUUGUCAGGGGCACCUCAAACUCAACUCCAAAAUUGAUCUAAUGAACUUUCCCAAACCACAUUCCCUUCUUGCAUUUCUGAGAGAAUGGAUUCCCAUUCAUCUGACUACAGUGCUACCCUGAAAGCAGAUCCAGAGACUAAGAUUCACCUGCAGGUGAUUCAUUUGGGUCUCAACUCAAGCAUUCCUUUCUCAAGAAGCCUUUUAUGGUAUGAAGAGUGAGACAGAGUUCCCUGCGCCACCUCCAUUGAAUCAUGUUAGGCCUUAAUGUACCUUUCCUUUAUAACACUUACUGAAUGAUUAAUUUGGCAUUUAUUUACCUGGCUAUUUUAUUCAGUGUUUAGGAUUUAUACUAGAUUGUAAGCUCCUCAAGAGUGUUCCAGGUCUAGUUUAGGUCACCAUGUAUCCCUGAUUAGUACCACACAUCCCAGUGCACCAUGGUUCUCAACAAAUAACAUGUUAUAUAAAUCAAUAAAUGACAGGAACAAA